GGUUAAGCGACUAAGCGUACACGGUGGAUGCCCUGGCAGUCAGAGGCGAUGAAGGACGUGCUAAUCUGCGAUAAGCGUCGGUAAGGUGAUAUGAACCGUUAUAACCGGCGAUUUCCGAAUGGGGAAACCCAGUGUGAUUCGUCACACUAUCAUUAACUGAAUCCAUAGGUUAAUGAGGCGAACCGGGGGAACUGAAACAUCUAAGUACCCCGAGGAAAAGAAAUCAACCGAGAUUCCCCCAGUAGCGGCGAGCGAACGGGGAGCAGCCCAGAGCCUGAAUCAGUAUGUGUGUUAGUGGAAGCGUCUGGAAAGGCGCGCGAUACAGGGUGACAGCCCCGUACACAAAAAUGCACAUGCUGUGAGCUCGAUGAGUAGGGCGGGACACGUGGUAUCCUGUCUGAAUAUGGGGGGACCAUCCUCCAAGGCUAAAUACUCCUGACUGACCGAUAGUGAACCAGUACCGUGAGGGAAAGGCGAAAAGAACCCCGGCGAGGGGAGUGAAAAAGAACCUGAAACCGUGUACGUACAAGCAGUGGGAGCACGCUUAGGCGUGUGACUGCGUACCUUUUGUAUAAUGGGUCAGCGACUUAUAUUCUGUAGCAAGGUUAACCGAAUAGGGGAGCCGAAGGGAAACCGAGUCUUAACUGGGCGUUAAGUUGCAGGGUAUAGACCCGAAACCCGGUGAUCUAGCCAUGGGCAGGUUGAAGGUUGGGUAACACUAACUGGAGGACCGAACCGACUAAUGUUGAAAAAUUAGCGGAUGACUUGUGGCUGGGGGUGAAAGGCCAAUCAAACCGGGAGAUAGCUGGUUCUCCCCGAAAGCUAUUUAGGUAGCGCCUCGUGAAUUCAUCUCCGGGGGUAGAGCACUGUUUCGGCAAGGGGGUCAUCCCGACUUACCAACCCGAUGCAAACUGCGAAUACCGGAGAAUGUUAUCACGGGAGACACACGGCGGGUGCUAACGUCCGUCGUGAAGAGGGAAACAACCCAGACCGCCAGCUAAGGUCCCAAAGUCAUGGUUAAGUGGGAAACGAUGUGGGAAGGCCCAGACAGCCAGGAUGUUGGCUUAGAAGCAGCCAUCAUUUAAAGAAAGCGUAAUAGCUCACUGGUCGAGUCGGCCUGCGCGGAAGAUGUAACGGGGCUAAACCAUGCACCGAAGCUGCGGCAGCGACGCUGAUGCGUUGUUGGGUAGGGGAGCGUUCUGUAAGCCUGUGAAGGUGUGCUGUGAGGCAUGCUGGAGGUAUCAGAAGUGCGAAUGCUGACAUAAGUAACGAUAAAGCGGGUGAAAAGCCCGCUCGCCGGAAGACCAAGGGUUCCUGUCCAACGUUAAUCGGGGCAGGGUGAGUCGACCCCUAAGGCGAGGCCGAAAGGCGUAGUCGAUGGGAAACAGGUUAAUAUUCCUGUACUUGGUGUUACUGCGAAGGGGGGACGGAGAAGGCUAUGUUGGCCGGGCGACGGUUGUCCCGGUUUAAGCGUGUAGGCUGGUUUUCCAGGCAAAUCCGGAAAACUAAGGCUGAGGCGUGAUGACGAGGCACUACGGUGCUGAAGCAACAAAUGCCCUGCUUCCAGGAAAAGCCUCUAAGCAUCAGGUAACAUCAAAUCGUACCCCAAACCGACACAGGUGGUCAGGUAGAGAAUACCAAGGCGCUUGAGAGAACUCGGGUGAAGGAACUAGGCAAAAUGGUGCCGUAACUUCGGGAGAAGGCACGCUGAUAUGUAGGUGAAGUCCCUCGCGGAUGGAGCUGAAAUCAGUCGAAGAUACCAGCUGGCUGCAACUGUUUAUUAAAAACACAGCACUGUGCAAACACGAAAGUGGACGUAUACGGUGUGACGCCUGCCCGGUGCCGGAAGGUUAAUUGAUGGGGUCAGCGCAAGCGAAGCUCUUGAUCGAAGCCCCGGUAAACGGCGGCCGUAACUAUAACGGUCCUAAGGUAGCGAAAUUCCUUGUCGGGUAAGUUCCGACCUGCACGAAUGGCGUAAUGAUGGCCAGGCUGUCUCCACCCGAGACUCAGUGAAAUUGAACUCGCUGUGAAGAUGCAGUGUACCCGCGGCAAGACGGAAAGACCCCGUGAACCUUUACUAUAGCUUGACACUGAACAUUGAGCCUUGAUGUGUAGGAUAGGUGGGAGGCUUUGAAGUGUGGACGCCAGUCUGCAUGGAGCCGACCUUGAAAUACCACCCUUUAAUGUUUGAUGUUCUAACGUUGACCCGUAAUCCGGGUUGCGGACAGUGUCUGGUGGGUAGUUUGACUGGGGCGGUCUCCUCCUAAAGAGUAACGGAGGAGCACGAAGGUUGGCUAAUCCUGGUCGGACAUCAGGAGGUUAGUGCAAUGGCAUAAGCCAGCUUGACUGCGAGCGUGACGGCGCGAGCAGGUGCGAAAGCAGGUCAUAGUGAUCCGGUGGUUCUGAAUGGAAGGGCCAUCGCUCAACGGAUAAAAGGUACUCCGGGGAUAACAGGCUGAUACCGCCCAAGAGUUCAUAUCGACGGCGGUGUUUGGCACCUCGAUGUCGGCUCAUCACAUCCUGGGGCUGAAGUAGGUCCCAAGGGUAUGGCUGUUCGCCAUUUAAAGUGGUACGCGAGCUGGGUUUAGAACGUCGUGAGACAGUUCGGUCCCUAUCUGCCGUGGGCGCUGGAGAACUGAGGGGGGCUGCUCCUAGUACGAGAGGACCGGAGUGGACGCAUCACUGGUGUUCGGGUUGUCAUGCCAAUGGCACUGCCCGGUAGCUAAAUGCGGAAGAGAUAAGUGCUGAAAGCAUCUAAGCACGAAACUUGCCCCGAGAUGAGUUCUCCCUGACUCCUUGAGAGUCCUGAAGGAACGUUGAAGACGACGACGUUGAUAGGCCGGGUGUGUAAGCGCAGCGAUGCGUUGAGCUAACCGGUACUAAUGAACCGUGAGGCUUAACCUU
rnacentral:rRNA from 1 species